rnacentral:rRNA from 1 species
UACGUAGGUGGCAAGCGUUUGUCCGGAAUUAUUGGGCGUAAAGCGCGCGCAGGCGGUCCUUUAAGUCUGAUGUGAAAGCCCACGGCUCAACCGUGGAGGGUCAUUGGAAACUGGGCGACUUGAGUGCAGGAGAGAAGAGUGGAAUUCCUGGUGUAGCGGUGAAAUGCGCAGAUAUCAGGAGGAACACCGAUUGCGAAGGCAGCUCGCUGGGACGUAACUGACGCUGAGACGCGAAAGCGUGGGGAGCAAACAGG